UGGAGAGUUGUCCGAGCUGGCCGAAGGAGCAUGACUGGAAAUCAUGUAGACGGAUUUAUCCGUCUCAAGGGUUCGAAUCCCUUACUCUCCGU
rnacentral:tRNA from 1 species